rnacentral:lncRNA from 1 species
CCCUGAGAGGAACCAUAGAAGAGUUAUCCGUCGCCCUUGGGGAGGGGAGGACUGAGCUACAACAGUUAAAGAUCGAGCUGGUAUACGAGUAGCAGGUGGUCAAGGAUGCGGAGGCAGAGUCCGAGGUCCUGAGAGAAAGGCUCUGAGAGACAGAGAACGAAAGCCAACGGUUUCAUCGGAUGUAUCUGGAGAUACUAAUAAGGGAGAAA